CACUUUAGUACCAAGCAAUUCUAUAUUUCUAUAGAACCUUUUAUGUUAAAACUAGUAACAAGAAGCACCCCUUCUCUUAAAUGCAAGUAUAAAUCAGCUAGGACCCACCACUGAUAAUUAACACCCAUGAACUUACAGUAGAAACACCACAAGAAAACCCUACUUCACCCCAUGUUAAUCUAACACAAGAGCAUUACAAGAAAGAUUAAAAGAAAAAGAAGGAACUCGGCAAACAUUAACCCCGCCUGUUUACCAAAAACAUCGCCUCUUGAUAAACUUAUAAGAGGUCCAGCCUGCCCAGUGACUCUGUUCAACGGCCGGGGUAUCCUAACCGUGCGAAGGUAGCGUAAUCACUUGUUCUUUAAAUGAGAACUAGUAUGAAUGGCACCACGAAGGUUAUACUGUCUCCUUUCUCUAAUCAGUGAAACUAAUCUCCCCGUGAAGAAGCGGGGAUGAAAAUAUAAGACGGGAAGACCCUAUGGAGCUUCAAACAAAUAUACAACUGCCUAUUCCACUAAAAAUUUCAGGAAAAAAACACCUAUCCAGGCACUUUGAUAUAGAGUUUUAGGUUGGGGUGACCACGGGGUAAAAAACAACCUCCGUAAUGAAAGGGAAUUUUCCCUAAACUAAGGCCUACAACCCUAAGUAUCAAUAAAUUGACACCAAUUGACCCAAUACAUUUGCCCAAUGAACCAAGUUACCCUAGGGAUAACAGGCGCAAUCCACUUCAAGAGCCCCUAUCGACAAGUGGGUUUACGACCUCGAUGUUGGAUCAGGGUAUCCUAGUGGUGCAGCCGUACUAACGGUUCGUUUGUUCAACGAUU
rnacentral:rRNA from 1 species